UUCUCAUUCUCAUAGCAUUUUAUCCGCCCCCAUCGAGCUGUUUAUCUCCAGGCGAUUCAAAAGGAAAUAGGGUUUCUCUUGGCGAUGCAAGAUCUGGCUCCAGAUCAGCGAAUCUCUCUCUAUACGACACCCAAUCGACUGAGUUUGAAGGUGGUGAAGGGUUUGGAUCUGCCAAUCUGUGACGUAUGAGCAAGGGGGUGUUUGGUCUGCCAAUCGGUGAUGUAUGAGCAUGAUUUCACAAGAUCUAAAGACGGCGUGGUGUGUAGAGACGAGUUCUGGUUUUAGAUGGUGGUUGAAGUAGGUUCCGACAAACUGAUGUAUGUCUGACGACCUCUUUUUUAUUUGUUUAGGUCACAAGCUUCAGAUCUCUUCUCUGACUUUUUGGUAAUUUUAUUCCUGCAGUUAGAAGAACAUCACAUGUAUGUUUUUAACCAUAUCGACAUUUUUGUUUGUUAUUUGACAUGGAUCUGUGAAAUAGUGUCAGAUUUGUGUUGGGUUCUUCAAAUAUAGUGGUCGUGCAUCUGUGAAAUAGUUUCAAAUAUGUGUUGUGUUCUUCAAGGAUAUGUAUUUGAUAUGGAUCUGUGAAAUAGAUUCAGAUCUGUUAAUUUUUUCUAGCAGAUCUGUUAUAAUGCUAUUACGUUUAAAAAGAUGAAAGUCAAAUCUGGGUUUGGUGAAAGAGUAUUUGACAUGGAUCUGUGAAAUAGACAGCAAUAUGUAUUUUAUUUCUGAAAUCUUUGAUGCAAUUUCUGAUAGUUUAAUUUAGCGAUUCUGUUGUGUGUUCUACUCAUCGAGUGAAUUUAUUAGUUGAUUUGAUAUGUUGGGUAAGAUUUAUUGUUGAUCUUUCAUUGUUGUGUGUUCUGAUUUUCGAUUGUUGACCUUUGGUUGAUGCUUGAUUUUGUACGAAACCCUAUCUGGUAACUGAAAAUUGUACAUAUUAUUGAAUUUAAUUGUUGUAAUAUUGUUAAAGAUAUGUACAAUUUACUUCUUCUGUUGAAUCAAUACUUUUGACUGUAAAUGAAAUAUUAUGGUUACACUUGAAGAUUUGUGGGAAUUGUAUGAGUUUGGAGGGACAUUUAUUGCUGUUUGAUUGAUUAUUUUCUUUAUGUUGCGAGAAUGGAACUUGCUCUAGCUAUUUUGUAUUUGAACAAAGCUGAAACCCCGGACAAGAUAUGCAGAGCAAUACAAUACGGUUCAAAGUUCGUAAGUAAUGGCGAGCCAGGCACUGCCCAAAAUGUUGACAAGUCAACUAGCUUGGCUACGAAAGUUUUCCGUCUUUUUAAGUUUGUCAGUGAUUUGCAUGCUAUUAUCAGUCCAACUGCUCCAGGAACUCCGCUUCCGCUUGUUUUGCUGGGGAAGACUUUCAGUCGAAAAAUGGCCACUUAUAUCUCGGUACAGGCCUUCUGUCCGUUCACAAUCUGGGGAUUAUUGAUGCACAUUUGGAAUAUAUUUUCAAAACUGAUUCGGGGUAUGAAACCGGUUCCAGCUCUAAUCAAUGUGUUCAAUAACUGGGUAUUGGUCAAUCCAGGUCGGGUAUGGAAUUGGUUUUGGAGAUGGAAGUGACCGGUUCCGGUCCUGGGUUGUUUUGGGUAUUGACUAGCUCGGGUCGCGUAUAACCAAGUUGGAACCGUUUUUAAAGCAUGGAGUUACAAACUGGUGGUUAAGGUCUGGUAUGGAACCGAUUCCUAAUACCCAGUUUCUAGCAAAGCCCAGUUCUGGUUUUUUUUUUGUCAGUGAAAUUGAUUGGUAAACUACAAGAUGGUACCGUGUUCAUCAAAAAAGGUCACGAUGAUUCCCAGCCUUUCGAGUUCAAGGAAGAUGAAGAGCAAGUGAUUGACGGAUUGGAUCGAGCUGUUAUGACAAUGAAGAAAGGGGAAGUAGCUCUUCUGAAAGUCGCACCAGAAUAUGCCUUUGGUUCUACCGGUUCCGAGAAAGAAUUAGCGGUGGUUCCCCCUAAUGCUACUGUUACUGAUGGUUGUUGCCAGAGGAACUCCUUGGUUUUCAGGUGCUGAUUUGGCAAAUUUGGUAAACGUGGCGGCUCUUAAGGCGGCAAUGGACAGUGCAAAAUCGGUAAGCAUGGCUGAUUUAGGGUUAUAGCGACUCAUAGCGAGAAUAGCGACAAUUAAUUUCUUUUGAUAUAAAUAGCAAGUAAAUAUAACUCUAAAAUGGCUGGAUUAUAGGUUUUUGUUAAAUAUAUAUGUAAAAUGGCAUAUAUACCAGGGUAUUUUGAUAUAGUAUACAUAUAAAAAUAUUUAAAAAAAAUUUAAGUGUAGCGCUAUUUAUAAAAUUGCCGACCACUAUUUAUCGCUAUUCGCUAUGUGGCUUAUAGGUACCUUAUCGCUAUUUGCUAUGUGGCUUAUAGGUACCUUAUCGCUAUUCGCUAUGUGGCUUAUAGGUACCUUAUCGCUAUUCGCUAUGUGGCUUAUAGGUACCUUAUCGCUAUUCGCUAUGUGGCUUAUAGGUACCUUAUCGCUAUAGCGAUUUUUGUUAUGGGGCGUUUGGACAUGCGUUUCAAAACUGAUUAUGUGAUGUUAAAUAACCUAAUAAUAUCUUAGUGCUUAGUGAUAAAAUGAUCUAAUAGGACAUAAUAUUGAAAAAAGGGGUUAGCUGGUCGUAAAAUGGGAAUAAAGUUCUCUCAAAUUAGACUAAGAGGUAAUUUCUUCUCAAAAGGUUGUUUCGAGAACUGAUGGAUCCUCAAAGAUCUCUCCCGUUUGUCAUUAAAGCACACGUAUAUCUGGCUGUGAGUUGUCACAAGUAUUGACCCGUUUAAAUGAAUUGCUCUAUUAAAUUAUUUAUCAUUUUUGUUAGAUUCAGUUAUUAUAAUUUCUUGUGUAAAUUUCAAAAUCGUUAGUAAAAACGUACUCUUGUCACUAAUGUUGCUACUUUUUCACACAACUAAUAUCAACUGCCAUUUAUGUACUUAGCCCUGUGGACAUUAUACCGAAGGUACGUUGCUUCAAGCCCCGCUUCACAAUAUAUCAACUCAAAUAUAUGUUUGAUAAAAUGCUGGUUAUUUUGAUUUUUGACAGCAUUGUUUGGAGUACUUGGUCCAUUGGAUGAUGUCAUUAUAGCCCUUAUCUUUUUCCUACAUGUUGGCACCCUGUAUCGGGCUAUUCUUGUGUGCCGUUAUGGAGGAGCUGCAAUUAUGCUUCAUCUGAUAUUGAUACAAUAUAGAGAUUGUGAUCUUUGUAUAAUGAUGGGAAAGAUUGUUUCAGUUGCAAGACGUACAAGUUUUCAUUUUUAUUAGUCUUAAAGAGUGUUGGUUAGUCA